UAUGAACAACAAUGCCAAGCAACCAGA
rnacentral:piRNA from 2 species